rnacentral:misc_RNA from 1 species
UCUCCGUUGGUGAACCAGCGGAGGGAUCAUUACCGAGUUUACAACUCCCAAACCCAAUGUGAACCACACCACACUGUUGCCUCGGCGGGGUCACGCCCCGGGUGCGUCGCAGCCCCGGAACCAGGCGCCCGCCGGAGGGACCAACCAAACUCUUUCUGUAGUCCCCUCGCGGACGUUAUUUUUACAGCUCUGAGCAAAAAUUCAAAAUGAAUCAAAACUUUCAACAACGGAUCUCUUGGUUCUG